rnacentral:rRNA from 1 species
UGCCAGACUCCUACGGGAGGCAGCAGUGAGGAAUAUUGGUCAAUGGGCGGAAGCCUGAACCAGCCAAGUCGCGUGAGGGAAGACUGCCCUAUGGGUUGUAAACCUCUUUUGUCAGGGAGCAAUUGGCGCUACGUGUAGCGUUAUCGAGAGUACCUGAAGAAAAAGCAUCGGCUAACUCCGUGCCAGCGGCCGCGGUAAUACGGAGGAUGCGAGCGUUAUCCGGAUUUAUUGGGUUUAAAGGGUGCGUAGGCGGAAUGCCAAGUCAGCGGUAAAAUCGCGGGGCUCAACCUCGCUCCGCCGUUGAAACUGGCGUUCUUGAGUGGGCGAGAAGUAUGCGGAAUGCGUGGUGUAGCGGUGAAAUGCAUAGAUAUCACGCAGAACUCCGAUUGCGAAGGCAGCAUACCGGCGCCCAACUGACGCUGAAGCACGAAAGCGUGGGUAUCGAACAGGAUUAGAUACCCCCGUAC